rnacentral:rRNA from 1 species
AAGAACCUGAAACCGUGUACGUACAAGCAGUGGGAGCCCCACCACUAAGCCAGUGGUGAACUCCACAUACGCAUCCUUUGCUGAAGGCAAUGGUUAACGGAGCGAAAGCGACGUUCAACCGCAAAACAAGCAGAGGGGGCUUAGUGGUGGGGUGACUGCGUACCUUUUGUAUAAUGGGUCAGCGACUUAUAUUCUGUAGCAAGGUUAACCGUAUAGGGGAGCCGGAGGGAAACCGAGUCUUAAUUGGGCGUUAAGUUGCAGGGUAUAGACCCGAAACCCGGUGAUCUAGCCAUGGGCAGGUUGAAGGUUGGGUAACACUAACUGGAGGACCGAACCGACUAAUGUUGAAAAAUUAGCGGAUGACCUGUGGCUGGGGGUGAAAGGCCAAUCAAACCGGGAGAUAGCUGGUUCUCCCCGAAAGCUAUUUAGGUAGCGCCUCGUGAAUUCAUCUCCGGGGGUAGAGCACUGUUUCGGCUAGGGGGCCAUCCCGGCUUACCAACCCGAUGCAAACUGCGAAUACCGGAGAAUGUUAUCACGGGAGACACACGGCGGGUGCUAACGUCCGUCGUGAAGAGGGAAACAACCCAGACCGCCAGCUAAGGUCCCAAAGUCAUGGUUAAGUGGGAAACGAUGUGGGAAGGCCCAGACAGCCAGGAUGUUGGCUUAGAAGCAGCCAUCAUUUAAAGAAAGCGUAAUAGCUCACUGGUCGAGUCGGCCUGCGC